UGGAUUGCCACAGAUGUGGCGGGCAUCACGGCCACCCUCAGGGAGCCAGUCGGGCAGCCAGUCUAGCCAGGGUUUGCAUUGGGGCUCGCCUGCACUGCUGCUCCUGGCUGCAUGCCCUCAUGCACAGGUCUACCCAUGCCAGGACCGCCCAGGGGCCGCGGUUCCGCGUGGCGCCUCGCCCUGGCUGGCACCUAGCAGCCAGCUUUCGCCCUGGCUGGCACCGAAUCUGACUGUUUAAUUCCAACAAAGCAUCCCGAUGGCCCGCAGCGGGUGUUGACACGACGUGAUUUCUGCCCAGUGCUCUGAAUGUCAAAGUGAAGAAAUUCAAUGAAGCGCGGGUCAAGGGUGGCAGCAACUAUGACUCUCUUAAGGUAGCCAGAUUGCUCGUCAUCUAAUUAGUGAGGCGCAUGAAUGGAUGAACGAGAUUCCCACUGUCCAUACCUCCUAUCCAGCCAAACCACAGCCAAGGGAUCCGGCUUGG
rnacentral:ncRNA from 1 species